ACGGCUCAGUAACACGUGGCAAAUCUGCCCUUAGGACGAGAAUAACCCCGGGAAACUGGGGCUAACUCUCGAUAGGUGAAGAACUCUGGAAUGAGUCUUCACUCAAAAAGCUUCACGUUAUCCUCGUGAAGUCGCCUAAGGAUGAGGCCGCGGCCGAUCAGGUUGUUGGCGAGGUAACGGCUCACCAAGCCUUUUACCGGUGCGGGCCGUGAGAGCGGGAGCCCGGAGAUGGGUACUGAGACAAGGACCCAGGCCCUACGGGGCGCAGCAGUCGCGAAACCUUUGCAAUACACGAAAGUGUGACAGGGCUAUCCCGAGUGCCAUCCGCUGAGGAAGGCUUUUACCCAGUCUAGAUAGCUGGGGGAAUAAGGAGAGGGCAAGUCUGGUGUCAGCCGCCGCGGUAAUACCAGCUCUCCGAGUGGUGUGGAUGUUUAUUGGGCCUAAAGCAUCCGUAGCUGGCUAGGUCAGUCCCUUGUCAAAUCCACCGAAUUAAUCGUUGGAUCGCGGGGGAUACUGCUUGGCUAGGGGACGAGAGAGGCAGACGGUAUUUUCGGGGUAGGGGUGAAAUCCUAUAAUCCCGGGAAGACCACCAGUGGCGAAGGCUGUCUGCUAGAACGCGCCCGACGGUGAGGGAUGAAAGCUGGGGGAGCGAACCGGAUUAGAUACCCGGGUAGUCCCAGCUGUAAACGAUGCAGACUAGGUGUUUGGACGGCCACGUGCCGUUCUAGUGCCGCAGGGAAGCUGUUAAGUCUGCCGCCUGGGGAGUACGAUCGCAAGAUUGAAACUUAAAGGAAUUGGCGGGGGAG
rnacentral:rRNA from 1 species